AUUGAACGCUGGCGGCAGGCCUAACACAUGCAAGUCGAACGAGUGGCGGACGGGUGAGUAACGCGUGGUAACCUGCCUAUUAGAGGGGGAUAACUAUUGGAAACGAUAGCUAAUACCGCAUACCAUCGGAUGUGCCCAGAUGGGAUUAGCUAGUAGGGGGGGUAAAGGCUCACCUAGGCGACGAUCCCUAGCUGGUCUGAGAGGAUGACCAGCCACACUGGAACUGAGACACGGUCCAGACUCCUACGGGAGGCAGCAGUGGGGAAUAUUGCACAAUGGGCGCAAGCCUGAUGCAGCCAUGCCGCGUGUAUGAAGAAGGCCUUCGGGUUGUAAAGUACUUUCAGCGGGGAGGCGUUACCCGCAGAAGAAGCACCGGCUAACUACGUGCCAGCAGCCGCGGUAAUAC
rnacentral:rRNA from 1 species